AGCUUGCUCCCUGAUGUUAGCGGCGGACGGGUGAGUAACACGUGGGUAACCUGCCUGUAAGACUGGGAUAACUCCGGGAAACCGGGGCUAAUACCGGAUGGUUGUUUGAACCGCAUGGUUCAGACAUAAAAGGUGGCUUCGGCUACCACUUACAGAUGGACCCGCGGCGCAUUAGCUAGUUGGUGAGGUAACGGCUCACCAAGGCGACGAUGCGUAGCCGACCUGAGAGGGUGAUCGGCCACACUGGGACUGAGACACGGCCCAGACUCCUACGGGAGGCAGCAGUAGGGAAUCUUCCGCAAUGGACGAAAGUCUGACGGAGCAACGCCGCGUGAGUGAUGAAGGUUUUCGGAUCGUAAAGCUCUGUUGUUAGGGAAGAACAAGUGCCGUUCAAAUAGGGCGGCACCUUGACGGUACCUAACCAGAAAGCCACGGCUAACUACGUGCCAGCAGCCGCGGUAAUACGUAGGUGGCAAGCGUUGUCCGGAAUUA
rnacentral:rRNA from 1 species